ensembl:lncRNA
CAGGGAAUGAGAGGAGUGGAGACGUGUUCCAGAUGUGGAGUCAGCAAGCUCUACAACUGGAAGGAUCCAACCAGGAUCACACAUGCACUCAGUUGCACAUCUCCUUGGUUCCCUCCAUCUGGGAUAGUCUUCCAGCCUUUCUUUGUCUUUCUUGGCUUGAAGAAUAGAGAGUAUAGCUGGAGAGCACCCGGUGAUGCAGAUUCUACUACUUUCUUAUUGGGAGGCACGGAGAAGUGCGUUAACUUGCUCAAGUUUACACAGUUGGCCAGUGGCAGAACCAGGACUGCAGUGCCUGAAGCGUGGCUCCUGUACGCACACUCUGGAUCCUGUACUGAAGUGUGUCAGUGCACAUGGGUCAGAAAGUGCAGGCGAAGGUUUCAGGAAACCGAGAGCCCAGGAAAUGAGCUUUGGACCUGGCGGAGCCAUCAGAAUGUUCAUCCCUGUGCUGUCCACCCAGGAAAGCAAGCGUCAGCCUGUGGGGCUGCUCUGUGGCAGCACAGACAGCUUGUGGAAGACAGGAGGAUGGUCAUUAGCCUCAUCUGUAAGGCCCAGCAGAAGGCUCUGGAGGGCCUUUCAGGGCUGUGCUCGCAGUGCCUGGGUGGGAGGCUUGCGGGGAGGGGGGUCCUGCACUCUGCCAAACCUGCCCUGGGCCCCUCCCUCUGGCACUGUUUGCGUAUCUUCCUGCUUCCUCCAGACAUCUCAUUCUCCUUGGAUUGUAAAUAAAAG